UCUAUUUAAACAGAAAGUUGGCCAUUGAGACACUAUUAACUAGUUGUAACAAGUUUUAUGAAACACUUAAGAUAUCUGCUCUUAAGUUCAGUCAUUAAAAUACUUGGCUCAAAACUUAGACUAAAACAGGAGACAGCAAGCCCAGUGCCAUCCCCUUACCCUCAGUUCUUUAAUUUAGAAUCCCAGAGUGAUGACUGUAAGUUCCCUUCCUUUUCAGACAGAAUUAUGGGUUAACGGGCAAGCUGCCAUUGAUGCCAGUGCUUAAGAAACCAUGUGUAAAUCAACUUACUUGAGCAGUGUUUAAAGAAUUUUAAAUUAAUAACUUUU